rnacentral:lncRNA from 1 species
UCGAUCCUGACCUUCUCUUUUGAAGGCAUCGAAUUCCUUGGUAAAUGUCGACGUCUAUUCCCCUUUUCCUGGGAAUGUCGAACAUGCUUUCCUGCGGAAAUGUCGAUCCUGCCCUUCUCUUUUGAAGGUAUCGACUUCCUUGGUAAAUGUCGACGUCUAUUCCCCUUUUCCUGGGAAUGUCGAACAUGCUUUCCUGCGGAAAUGUCGAUCCUGCCCUUCUCUUUUGAAGGUAUCGACUUCCUUGCCAAAUGUCGACGCUUAUCCCAUUUCUUGGGAAUGUCGAACAUGCUUUUCUGCGGAAUAUCGAUGGUUUUUCUGAAAUGUCGAUGGAUCUUCUUGAAAUGUCGAUGCCAUUUAGUCGGAUUUUAGGGUUUUCUACGGACUGGGCCGUCGUGGGCCUGCCGGGCCCGUGGACUUCCUGGUCCAACGGGUCGACCCGGAUGAACAGUGCCCGCGACGGUUCGUCUUCGACUUUCCCCUAUAAAUAGCGGAUGGAGUUCAUUUGUUUUCUCACUCGUUUUCUUCGCUCUGAGGCAU